rnacentral:rRNA from 1 species
AUUGAACGCUGGCGGCAGGCCUAACACAUGCAAGUCGAGCGGAUGAAGGGAGCUUGCUCCUGGAUUCAGCGGCGGACGGGUGAGUAAUGCCUAGGAAUCUGCCUGGUAGUGGGGGAUAACGUCCGGAAACGGGCGCUAAUACCGCAUACGCCCUGAGGGAGAAAGUGGGGGAUCUUCGGACCUCACGCUAUCAGAUGAGCCUAGGUCGGAUUAGCUAGUUGGUGGGGUAAAGGCCUACCAAGGCGACGAUCCGUAACUGGCCUGAGAGGAUGAUCAGUCACACUGGAACUGAGACACGGUCCAGACUCCUACGGGAGGCAGCAGUGGGGAAUAUUGGACAAUGGGCGAAAGCCUGAUCCAGCCAUGCCGCGUGUGUGAAGAAGGUCUUCGGAUUGUAAAGCACUUUAAGUUGGGAGGAAGGGCAGUAAGUUAAUACCUUGCUGUUUUGACGUUACCAACAGAAUAAGCACCGGCUAACUUCGUG